rnacentral:rRNA from 1 species
UACGAGGGGGGGCGAGCGUUGUUCGGAAUUAUUGGGCGUAAAGGGUGCGUAGGCGGCCUGACAAGUCUGAUGUGAAAUCCCUGGGCUCAACCCAGGGCCUGCAUCGGAAACUGUCGGGCUUGAGUAUGGGAGAGGUGAGUGGAAUUUUCCGGUGUAGCGGUGAAAUGCGUAGAUAUCGGAAGGAACACCAGUGGCGAAAGCGGCUUCCUGGUCCAGCACCGACAUUCAGGCACGAAAGCGUGGGGAGCAAACAGG